GGGUCCAUACUAAGACUAAAAGCUGGUGACAGCUGGUGAUAUUUCUCACACACUAAUGUGCAAAGGAAAAAAAAAAAAAAGAAGAAAGAAAAGAAAAGCCAGGAAGGUGGCUACAAUGCAGAUUCCUAGUCUCCAUGCCCAGAUUUGUUGAGUCAGGAGUCAUGGGGAAGGCCCAGGGUGUCUGACCUUUAAAAACAGGCUCUGGACGACCCUGAUAACAGCACCAGUGGCUUGAACUAUGAAGAGCCCGGGAGAAGGCAGGCCUGGCCACGGAUCCUUCGGUGGAGGCCUUUGCCCCGGGCCUGCGGCAUGGUGCUUGAGGUCCGCGGACUCAGUUCCUCCCGCCUCCCGUGAUGAGCCAAGGCGCGCGAGGACCUCCAAGGGCGUUUUUCUUGCCGCACUGAAAAGCUCUACAGCGUGAGGGAAGGGACUUGUUAGAACUCCUGAAGCAGAAAGGGCAGAGCCAGCCGGGGAGUCGGGGCCUCCGCACAGAGCCCAGCCGGCUCCCCGUGGCAGGAGGUCUCGCGCGCGGAGUCCUGCGGCCGAAAGGCACGCGCUGCAUUAACGAGCGCGGCGAAAGGAGGCCUGGGUGUGACUCCAGAGUCCCUUCUCACGGCGUGCCCGCUCUCUGACCCUCGGCCUGCGGCCCACAGUAGGGAGUUCUCCGGAAAAGCCCCUCCUGCUCUGUGUCCUAUUUGGUGCCCUCCUGCCGCAGAGCUGCCCCGACAGCCGUGAGGGUCUAUUUCUCCGCACAGUGAGACUGGCGUUUAGAGUCCCUAACGUGGCGACACUGCAGCAGCGAAGGGAAAAUCAAGUGCCUGAAGGCAUUCCCACCUGCUGCGGCCUCGGGUGGGACCUCUCCCUGCUCCCAGAGCUGCGCCCCUGCGGCGCCUACCUUCCUUGCUCUGUAAACGGAAGCGCCGACCGACCGUCUCUACCCCGCCAUCAACUAACUGCCCACGGGCAGGAAGAAGAUGUGAUUAAGGAUCUUGAGAAGAGGAGCUUUCCCUGGAUUAUCCUGCUGGGCCCUGAAUGCUGACACCUUAGGGGGAUGCAGAGAGAGACUGGAGAUUGACAUGCAGAGACAGAGUAGCAGAAGAAGCAAUGUUCAGAUGGAGGCAGAGACUGGGCCACCAGCCCAGGAAUGCUGGCAGUCACCAGAAUGUGGAAGAGGGGAGGAACAGAUUCUCCCUACAACUGCAGAGAAAAUAGGGCUCUGCUGACACUUUGAUUUCAGUUCAGUCACACUGGUUUCUAAUUUCUAGCCUCCAGAACUGUGAGAUAAUAAAUUCACGUUGUAAG
rnacentral:lncRNA from 1 species